UAUAGUAGUUCACAUCAUAUAGGGCAGGUAGUUAUAGAAGUUAUAGUAGUUAUAAUAGUUAACAUCAUACAGGACAGGUAGUUAUAGUAGUUAACAUCAUACAGGACAGGUAGUUAUAGUAGUUAUCAUACAGGACAGGUAGUUAUAGUAGUUAUAGUAGUUAACAUCAUAUAGGACAGGUAGUUAUAGUAGUUAUAGUAGUUAACAUCAUACAGGACAGGUAGUUAUAGAAGUUAUAGUAGUUAACAUCAUACAGGACAGGCAGUUAUAGUAGUUAACAUCAUAUAGGACAGGUAGUUAUA